CAAUACCGCGUGAGGGAGGAAGGCUCUUGGGUUGUAAACCUCUUUUCUCAGGGAAGAACACAAUGACGGUACCUGAGGAAUAAGCAUCGGCUAACUCCGUGCCAGCAGCCGCGGUAAUACGGAGGAUGCAAGCGUUAUCCGGAAUGAUUGGGCGUAAAGCGUCCGCAGGUGGCUAUGUAAGUCUGCUGUUAAAGAGUGAGGCUCAACCUCAUAAGAGCAGUGGAAACUACAUGGCUAGAGUGCGUUCGGGGCAGAGGGAAUUCCUGGUGUAGCGGUGAAAUGCGUAGAGAUCAGGAAGAACACCGGUGGCGAAAGCGCUCUGCUAGGCCGCAACUGACACUGAGGGACGAAAGCUAGGGGAGCGAAUGGGAUUAGAUACCCCAGUAGUCCUAGCCGUAAACGAUGGAUACUAGGCGUGGCUUGUAUCGACCCGAGCCGUGCCGUAGCUAACGCGUUAAGUAUCCCGCCUGGGGAGUACGCACGCAAGUGUGAAACUCAAAGGAAUUGACGGGGGCCCGCACAAGCGGUGGAGUAUGUGGUUUAAUUCGAUGCAACGCGAAGAACCUUACCAAGACUUGACAUGUCGCGAAUCUCCUUGAAAGGGGAGAGUGCCUUCGGGAGCGCGAACACAGGUGGUGCAUGGCUGUCGUCAGCUCGUGUCGUGAGAUGUUGGGUUAAGUCCCGCAACGAGCGCAACCCUCGUUUUUAGUUGCCAGCAUUAAGUUGGGCACUCUAGAGAGACUGCCGGUGACAAACCGGAGGAAGGUGGGGAUGACGUCAAGUCAGCAUGCCCCUUACGUCUUGGGCUACACACGUACUACAAUGCUACGGACAAAGGGCAGCUACACAGCGAUGUGAUGCAAAUCUCAUAAACCGUAGCUCAGUUCAGAUCGAAGGCUGCAACUCGCCUUCGUGAAGGAGGAAUCGCUAGUAAUUGCAGGUCAGCAUACUGCAGUGAAUUCGUUCCCGGGCCUUGUACACACCGCCCGUCACACCAUGGAAGCUGGUAGUGCCCGAAGUCAUUACUCCAACCUUUCGGGGGGGAGGAUGCCGAAGGCAGGACUGGUGACUGGGGUGAAGUCGUAACAAGGUAGCCGUACCGGAAGGUGUGGCUGGAUCACCUCCUUUUAGGGAGACCUACCCCACUCGAAUAUCGAAAAACAAUCAGUUAAAUAGAUAUUGAGUUGGUCUAUCCUAGGUCGGUCGAGAUUGGUAAAAGCUUUCAAAGUAUUUUAGUUCGGUUUAACAACCAUUGAAACUAUUGGAAAUAUAAAUUCAGCACUUGGCUYAUGCCAGACUGCUGGAUUAUUCCAGCCAGAACCUUGAAAACUGCAUAGUAACGCGAAAAAAGCAGGCAGACGAAUCUAAGUGAUGAGUGCCAAGUGAUGAGUGCUGAUUUUAAUCAGUGUGAAUCACAAAGUAAACAGAACUUUGAAUAAGUUUGCAGUGGUGAACACCAAUGUAAGUGGUCAA
rnacentral:misc_RNA from 1 species